AUGGCUUGCACUAUGACCUACAUACAUUGUUGUCUCAUAACCAAUUCUUUCAGCAUGCUGUACAUUUGCUGCUUAUUCUCAGACUCUACUGAGUGUUGUUUACUGGGCAAACUAAGAGACCCCAAGGCCUCCAAUACUGUCCAGGGAGGAAGGAAGAAGGAAUCCUGCAGCAGGGAAAAUACUUCAUAGUAUCACCUGACCCAUUUUACCAUCACGGGAAUACUUACAGGCUAUGAUAUGCAUGUUAUAAAAAAGGAAAUCUUUCACCAACUCAGGAAACAUAAUACAGGAAUGACUCCAUCAUAGAAAAACCAGCUCAACCAGAUUUUCUGCCAACCUAUAAACAAACCUAAACACAGUAGAGAGAAUAAACUCCAAAAUUUUCCUUGGUUUGAAUCCCUG
rnacentral:lncRNA from 1 species